rnacentral:rRNA from 1 species
UACGUAGGGUGCAGGCGUUAAUCGGAAUUACUGGGCGUAAAGAGCUCGUAGGUGGUUUGUCGCGUUGUUCGUGAAAACUCACAGCUUAACUGUGGGCGUGCGGGCGAUACGGGCAGACUGGAGUACUGCAGGGGAGACUGGAAUUCCUGGUGUAGCGGUGGAAUGCGCAGAUAUCAGGAGGAACACCGGUGGCGAAGGCGGGUCUCUGGGCAGUAACUGACGCUGAGGAGCGAAAGCGUGGGGAGCGAACAGG